UCCUACGGGAGGCAGCAGUGGGGAAUAUUGCGCAAUGGGCGAAAGCCUGACACAGCAACGCCGCGUGGGGGAAGAAGGCCUUCGGGUUGUAAACCCCUUUUCUCAGGGAAGAAAAAUGACGGUACCUGAGGAAUAAGUCUUGGCUAACUACGUGCCAGCAGCCGCGGUAAUACGUAGAAGGCAAGCGUUAUCCGGAUUUACUGGGCGUAAAGAGGGUGUAGGCGGCCUUUCAAGUCGGAUGUAAAAUCUCCCGGCUUAACUGGGAGGGAUUGUUCGAUACUGUUGGGCUAGAGAGCAGCAGAGGGAGGUGGAAUUCCCGGUGUAGUGGUGAGAUACGUAGAUAUCGGGAGGAACACCAGUGGCGAAGGCGACCUCCUGGGCUGUUGCUGACGUUGAGGCCCGAAGGCGUGGGGAGCAAACAGGAUUAGAUACCCG
rnacentral:rRNA from 1 species